GACGUCACAAUAGCGACUCACUGGACCCAGCCCUUAGCAACGGCCUGGCAACGGUUUCCCUGCUGCUGCAGCCCCCGUCGGCUCCUCUUUUCCAGUCCUCCACUGCCGGGGCUGGGCCCGGCCGCGGGAAGGACCGAAGGGGAUACAGCGUGUCCCUGCGGCGGCUGCAAGAGGACUAAGCAUGGAUGGCAGCCGGAGAGGUAAAGGGCAGCUGUCAGGGGCUACCGCCGCCUCGCCCCUCGCUCCAGGCGGCGCUCCCAGCCUCGGGUCCGGGCAGCUGAGUGCAAGGCCGCCCCUUGGGGCGCUUCCUACCCCUGGCUGAGUCGCCAGUGUUGCCUGGAGCUGCCCAGGCCUGCGCAAAGGAAGAGGGAGAGCCUGCUUGCCAGCCUCGCAGUCAGAGCAACCUCUGUCCUUCCCAGAUAUGGUCCACCGUGCCUAUUUAAAGGACACUUGAGCACCAAAAGUAAUGCUGCAGUAGACUGCUCGGUUCCAGUAAGCGUGAGUACCAGCAUAAAGUAUGCAGACCAACAACGAAGAGAGAAACUCAAAAAGGAAUUAGCACAAUGUGAAAAAGAGUUCAAAUUAACUAAAACUGCAAUGCGAGCCAAUUAUAAAAAUAAUUCCAAGUCACUUUUUAAUACCUUACAAAAG
rnacentral:lncRNA from 1 species